rnacentral:lncRNA from 1 species
CUUCUUCUUGCUCUCUUUCACCCCUCUCAAAUUCUUCUUGGCACUUGUUUAAUAAUAAUCUUUUGAAUGUUAUCUUUUCAUUGUCUUGACUGAGAUCAGGUAAUGCAGCUGCCAGAUGAAAACAGAAAGUGGCAUACAUUUCACAGAAGGUAGGCUCCAUCAAGGCUUUCUCAAAGAUUUGUGAGAUGACACCAGUGAGAGUGAUGACAUUGUCAAUAUUAACUGCUUUUACCUGCUCAAAAAGCUUCU